UUAAUACUCCCUCCGUCCCAAAAUUCUUGUCUUAGAUUAGUCUAGAUACAGAUGUAUCUAAUACUAAAACGUGACUUGAUACAUCUGUAUUUAGACAAAUUUAAGACAAGAAUUUUGGGACGGAGGGAGUAUAUA
rfam:Triticum urartu cultivar G1812 contig1194537, whole genome shotgun sequence.